GUUUAGCCCCGAUAGCAGCGGCAUCCUUUUACUUUUUUCCUUUAAAAAGUAAAAGAUAUAGCGAAUAGCGGGAAAUAGC
rnacentral:sRNA from 1 species